AUUACAGCACUGCUUUCUGACUGGCUGUUUAACACCUUAACAGCAGAUCCCAGGUUUGCUGCUAUGACAGGAAAAUGCUGACCCCUCUUUAGAAGCUGCUUAUGUUCCUGGUGGCGAAAUCGUGGAGGUACUUCUCGAGGAUACCGAGGCAAGGCCUGUGGCUGCGGCGGCUGCUGCUGCUGCUGCUGCUGCUGCAGUAGUGGUGGUGGCGGCUGCUGCUGCUGCUGCUGUUGCUGCGGCUGCUGCGGCUGCUGCUGUUGCUGCUGCUGCUGCUGAUUGUUGGCUGUAGCUCGCUUGGCAUUAUUAUUAGUGCUGGUUGCUG
rnacentral:sRNA from 1 species